rnacentral:piRNA from 1 species
UGGGAUGUGGGUGUCUGAUGAACCUAC